rnacentral:rRNA from 1 species
UCGGGAAUUUUGGGCAAUGGGCGAAAGCCUGACCCAGCAACGCCGCGUGAAGGAUGAAGUAUUUCGGUAUGUAAACUUCGUAAGAAUAGGAAGAAUAAAUGACGGUACUAUUUGUAAGGUCCGGCUAACUACGUGCCAGCAGCCGCGGUAAUACGUAGGGACCAAGCGUUGUUCGGAUUUACUGGGCGUAAAGGGCGCGUAGGCGGUGUGUCAAGUCAGUUGUGAAAUCUCCGAGCUUAACUCGGAACGGUCAACUGAUACUGUCACACUAGAGUACAGAAGGGGCAAUCGGAAUUCUUGGUGUAGCGGUGAAAUGCGUAGAUAUCAAGAGGAACACCUGAGGCGAAGGCGGGUUGCUGGGCUGAUACUGACGCUGAGGCGCGAAAGCCAGGGGAGCAAACGGGAUUAGAUACCCCCGUAGUCCCUGAGCGGGCUGGCAAGGCGCAU